rnacentral:lncRNA from 1 species
AUGAUGAAAAUAAUGAUGUUAAACCCAUGAAAUUUGAUUGAAUUGUGGGAAUGAUGAAAAUGUUGAUGUUAAACCCAUGAAAUUUGAUUGAAUUGUGGGAAUUAUAGAAAUGAUGAUGUUAACCCCAUAAAAUUUUAUUGAAUUGUCGAAAUGAUGAAAAUGUUGAUGUUAAACCCAUGAAAUUUGAUUGAAUUAUGGGAAUGAUGAAAAUGUUGAUGGUAAACCCAUGAAAUUUGAUUGAAUUGUGGGAAUUAUAGAAAUGAUGAUGUUAAACCCAUGAAAUUUGAUUGAAUUGUGGGAAUGAUGAAAAUGAUGAUGAUAAACCCAUGAAAUUUGAUUGAAUUUGGGAAUUAUAAAAAUGAUGAUGCUAAACGCAUGAAAUUCGAUUGAAUUGUGGGAAUGGUGAAAAUGUUGAUGUUAAACCCAUGAAAUUUGAUUGAAUUGUGGGAAUUAUAGAAAUGAUGAUGUUAAACCCACGAAAUUUGAUUAAAUUGUGGGAAUGAUGAAAAUGUUGAUGUUAAACCCAUGAAAUUUGAUUGGAUUGUGGGAAUUAUAGAAAUAAUGAUGUUAAACCCAUGAAAUUUGAUUGAAUUGUGGGAAUGAUGAAAAUGUUGAUGUUAAACC